AGGCCCAUGCUAGCAGGAGGCACAAGAAGAGAUUAUAUAUGCAAAUAAUUCUGUAGCUCUUGUACCAGGAGAGGGUUUGUCUUGUAAUAUUUCUUUGAAGACACACAUAGAAAUCUUUGAUUGGUCUACAAAAAGCAAAAUUGUGAGGCUAAAAAGAAGAGGGAGAAAGAGAAAGAAUAUUUGAAAAGAGUAUGCAAAGCUAUGAUAAAAAGUCGGAAGAUGGAUGACAACUGCAGCAUCUUUUUUUUUUUUUUUGAGAGCUAAGAAUAGUGGGGAUGAGGGGGUGGGUAAGGCAUGCAAAGCAAUUUGGAGAAGCAAGGGAAAGAAGCAGACACCGAGGGAGAAUUUUAAAGACUUCAAAGAGCCCGAGUGGACUACCACAUCCCUGUAGCUGGCAGUCCUAUAGCUGGCGGUCCUACUUGUCCAGUAAGCUUCCAAACAUUGGCUCCUCUCUGAAAAGGUCACCCUGCUUUUCAGACAGAAUUUGUGACUCUCGGCAGCUGGGAAUACUUUGGAACUGAAGAGAACCUAUUAGGAGAGAGAAAAAACAGAGUCAUGAUUAAGCAAAAAAAAAAUGGAGAAAAGAUUCACCUCUAAAUUUUAUUUAAUGACAACAAAAACACACAACAUUUCUCUUUGAUUCAUAACGUUAAUAAAUUCUACUUAUCGUUUGCAAUAAUUCCAAGGUGUUCUAAAGACAUCUUUAUAUUAGAAAAGAGUUCCAUAUUAGUUUGAAUUACUUCAGGAAAGAAAUGCCCUAUUCCACCACUACAAGUUAUGGGGAAAUCUAUAGCAGAACAUUUUGUACUCUCACUAAUGAAGAAAGAACCCAGUAAGGAUUGCUGUAUUUUGGAGAUUAGGGAAUUGUGUUCACACUCACAAUAAAAUGUUAAGCUACUACGUCA